UAAAAAUAAGCUGCUAUAAACAUCCCUGUGCAGAUAUUUGUGUGUGUGUAAGUUUUCAAACUCCUUUCGAAAAAUACCAAGGGGCCUGAUUGCCGGACCAUAUGGUGACAACAGAGAACAAAUGGUGGAAGAAAAUAGACACCAUCAAAACUGGAUGAUUGAUUGAAAGGCGACAGGGAAAGAACUAUUCAUCAAACGCUUGCUGCUCGAGUGAAUAGGCCACUGGCUCUGAGACCCUCCAGCGCUGAGUUUGGUUGGUAGUUAUUCCUCCACUCACAUGCAUUUCUCCAGCUGCCACACACGCACACAACAGAAGAGGCCCAGGGCUCAAAGCUCUCUUCAUUUCACCACACAUCCCCCGUUAAAACAUUGUUGGACCCCAGGCUCAAGGCACGUGUUUGGCAAGGACGAGGUGUUAGCCUUGGUUUCUUUGGUUUUAAAACUACAGCUGGCAAGAGGCUUUGCAGAGGCAGGUAUCUGUGGCUGGACAACUAAUGGUCUUAUUCUGUAGCCCCCUGCAGAGGCCUGCGACCUGGUCAGACAGUUCCUCAGAGCUGCUACCAGUGCACCGUGCGUUACUUCUGAGCAAGCACAGCCCUCCAUCAGUUAGAAUCAUGUGCAGAAUAAACUGAGGUCACGGAGAUAUCCUGCACAACUAUAUAAUUUUCUUUUGACCUCUGUGCUCUCUGAGGCCCUUGCUGUGAUUAAACUGAUCUUAGGGGGAA